rfam:Aciduliprofundum boonei T469, complete genome.
CCCGGCUUAGCUCAGUCUGGCUAGAGCGGCGGACUGUAGUUGGGAUAUGCCCGGGGCGGGCAUAAACGCCGCUCAGCAGAGAUCCGCAGGUCCCCGGUUCGAAUCCGGGAGCCGGGA